rnacentral:rRNA from 1 species
UCAGAGUUUGAUCCUGGCUCAGAUUGAACGCUGGCGGCAGGCCUAACACAUGCAAGUCGAGCGGUAGCGGGAAGAGCUUGCUCUUUGCCGACGAGCGGCGGACGGGUGCGUAACACGUAGGAAUCUGCCCGGUAGUGGGGGAUAGCCCGGAGAAAUCCGGAUUAAUACCGCAUACGCCCUAAGGGGGAAAGCAGGGGAUCUUCGGACCUUGCGCUAUCGGAUGAGCCUGCGUCGGAUUAGCUUGUUGGUGGGGUAAAGGCCUACCAAGGCGACGAUCCGUAGCUGGUCUGAGAGGAUGAUCAGCCACACUGGGACUGAGACACGGCCCAGACUCCUACGGGAGG